UGAGAAUUCCUAGGUUCGGAUGAGAUUCAUUGAAACUAUUCAAUGGCAUGUUUAAAUCUCGAUAUGCCCCUCUUGUUUGUGACUGGGAUGCCGAGGAUCACAAAGCGGGUGUGAAUUACCAUGCAAAUUCACAUGGUGCCUUCAUUGUAACAAUCACCUAUUCGAUGUGCCGGUAAACCACACACGCUCCAUCGAACUAUGAUAAACAAUGAAUCACCCUUUGCCACCUUCGCUUAGAACCAAUUAGUGUGCCGGUAAACCACACACGCUCCACUAACAUCUUAGCAAGGUGCAAAGUGUAAUUUCAUGGGAUUGCAUCAAUUCACUUUUCCUAAAGUAACUAGGAUUGGGAAAUUUUAAAAAAAUGUGUAGUUACUUUAUAUUUCUUAUUAUACUUUUAAUGAGAGGAUGAGGUUGCCCUAUCCUACCCGUUCGGCUAACGACCCUCCACCAAUCAAGCAAGCGGUGGGUGUGAGUGUACACCCAUUAAGCGCCAUUUUAUAGGCCGCAACCUUAUACCCACCUUAUAGAUCGGCUUCGUGAAUGAGGCCUACUAACGGUAAGACUAGCAUUUAGUUAUACAUAUAUAUAUUAUUCUAGUAAUAUCAUAUUAGUAUAGGGUUGUAUUUUAAAACUUUUAAAAUCUAGGGUUUGAAAUUUAAGUUGUCUAAAUUAAAACUUUUAAUCACAAAAGUAAAUUUCAAAACAUGAGGGUAGGUUUUAAACAUUUAAAACAUGGAGGAUCAAAUAACAAAUAAUUCCAAUUAACAAUUAAUAUCCUAAUUAUCUAUAUUUGAUUUAUUCAAGAUUUCUUUUAAAGAUAAUUACCAAAAUAAUCAAAAUAAUUAAUUAAUUAUCAUAUAAGGAAAUUAAAUAUUUAAUUAGUUGAUAAUUACCUUUAACUAGAUCAAGAUAAUAGUUAUAUUUAUCAGAAAAACGAAUUAAUGUUGAUCUAAUUAGUUUAUGGUAAGUUAAGAUAAGAUAAACACAAAGAAAUCCCGAAUCUGGCCAUUCCUGACGCCUGGACUCGCCGAGUGCACAAAUGGACUCGCCGAGUCAGGCCUACUCGCCGAGUCCACUUUGAGACUCGCCGAGUCCAUGACUCAGAAACCAAAAAUUCGAAUUUUGCAGGUUUGUUUCAGUUAAUCAAGCAACAAUUUACAGAAAACCAAGCUAGGCUCUGAUACCACUGAUGGGUUUUAGCCAUAAGAACUUUCCUAUGUGCGCAUGCAAAACCCUAAUGCUUGGAUCUAGGCUUUCUAAUAAACAUGCUUUGAAUCCAAGACUUCUAAUUACUAAUUAGGUUAAACAAGAACAUUAAAACAGAUCUAGAAUCAUACCUUUGAGUUCCUUGUUGAUCUUGAGGUCUUGGAGCUUCUAGAGUCACAAAUGUCACUCCUCUAAUGGCUUACAAACACCAAAGCAAGGAGGAUGAUUUGGGAGAGAGGAGAGGGGAGGAAUUUCGACCAGAGGUUCCUUACUUUAGGUCAAGUGUCGAAUUCCAUCAGCCAUGGGGUCUAUUUAUACUUGUAGACUCCUUAAGGAUUACAGAUAAGUCCCUAUCAGAUAAUCUUCUCUUAAGGCUAUCCAAAUCCAUUCCUAGAUAACUCUAAUGGACGAUUUUAGCUAUCCUAAUCCUCUUAGAAUUCGUCCAUAGUAUAUCCAAAUGGAUUUACAGUUUAAAGCUUAACUAUCAAACAAUUGACAGUUUAUACCCCUUUAUUUAAUUAAUCUCUUUAAGUCACCAAAUUAAUUCUAAUUAAUUCUAUGACUUAUAUUAAUCAAAUAACAAAUAUAUUAUUCAUUAUAUUAUUCCCAUAAUAUAUUAAUAAUAUUUAUUCUCUCUUAAUAAAUCAUCCUAUCAAGUUGCUAUGGUGAAGGCAACCCAAAAGGACCAUGCACAACCGGAUAUAGUUACAGCCUUAGACACUAUUCCAACAGUCUCCCACUUGGAUAAGUCUAGUAACUAUACAAGUACAAUUCGGUUUGCAAUCGUAGCUCUCAAAGACGCUGUCAACUCUGAUCUAAUCAAUCUUGUCCUUUAGAUAAGGGAACGUACAGUCCUCUGUUAGAUAUCAUGCUGACAAUCCUAUGGAAUGGUUAGUCAAGCAUUUAGGUUUCUCGAUCUCUGAUUUAUUUGACAUAGAACUUAAUCGAACACAUCAAUUCAGUUCUGACCGGGCCCGGCACAUAAGUCAAAUCAAAUCAUCGAGCGGCCGAGAUAUCGCUUUUACCUUCUUAGAUAAAAGUUACAGAUAAACUUCGACUUAUAUGCAUUUACUUAUUCAUUAACCAACUAUACACAACAAUACGUUUUAUAACACCAAGUUACUGAUGCGUUUUCGUAUUAUCAAUGUACAAUCAAUUAACAAAUAAUAAACCAUAUAUCUAGGUUUUAAGACUAUAUGAUAUUAUCGUCUUGCGAUCACCUUUUAUAUCGUAUUCCAUAAGGUGAUUCCAGCAAGCGCGGGUUUAUUCCAAUGCUCAAAACUAGUUCAUAAGCACUCAUGAACGUUGCAGCAAUCCUUUGCUAUGUCUAACACCAUUUAGACAUUCUACACACCAAUUCAUGACAAUCUUCUUUCAUAUCUACUCCCAACAUAUGAACGAUUGUGGACCAUUUGAAUAAUUCGAUUAUUCCUAAUAAACUCAAUUAUUCUGGAAGUCAAAACAUGCAAAGUGAAACAAUAGCUAAACAAUUAACAUAAGAUAGUAACAUUACUCAUAAAUAAAACUCCUUUAUUUAAUCAUCAAAUGUCAAUUACAUUUAUCUAUUACACGUUUCUAAUACUAUCUAAUCUAUGCUAAUAUCAUCCUUCAGCCCAAUACUCCUAGCAUGCUGCAAGUGCUUAACCCUACUCAGUCCCUUCGUAAGCGGAUCUGCUGGGUUAUCUUCUGAUGAUAUCCUCUUCACUACGAGUUGUCCUUCUUCUACACGAUGUCUAAUGAAGUGAUACUUUCUGUCGAUAUGUCUUGAUCUACCAUGAUCCCUCGGUUCCUUGGUUAAGGCAACCGCACCUUCGUUAUCACAGAAAAUCUCCAUUGGCUCCUUUAUGGCAGGUACGACUCCAAGAUCACCGAUGAAGUUCUUUAGCCAUAUUGCCUCCUUCGACGCUUCGCUCGCUGCAAUGUACUCUGAUUCGCACGUUGAAUCAGCUACGGUUUCCUGCUUGGAACUCUUCCAUGUCACUGCUCCUCCAUUUAGGGUAAAGACCCAGCCCGACUGCGAACGGUAGUUGUCCCUGUCGGUCUGAAAACUGGCGUCACUAUACCCUCGCACCUUCAAGUCAUCACUCCCUCCGAGGACUAAGAACCAUUCCUUCGUCCUCCGAAGGUACUUAAGGAUAUUCUUCACCGCAAUCCAAUGUGCUUUGCCAGGAUUCCCUUGAUAUCUGCUAACCAUGCUCAAAGCGAAGGCUACAUCAGGGCGAGUACAAGUCAUAGCGUACAUGAUUGAGCCAACUGCGGAAGCGUAUGGUACUCGGCUCAUUUCUGCUAUCUCAGCUUCGGUACUCGGACUUUGAGUCUUACUCAAUUUGGCAUUACUUUGUAUCGGUAGUUCUCCCUUCUUUGAGUUUUCCAUACUAAAACGUUUUAGUACCUUCUCUAAGUAAGUAUUCUGACUAAGUCCAAUUAGUCUCUUACUUCUUUCUCUUACUAUCCUUAUUCCCAAAAUGUAAGAAGCCUCUCCGAGGUCCUUCAUAGCGAAGCACUUCCCGAGCCAGGACUUAACCUCCUGCAGAGUCGGGAUGUCGUUUCCUAUGAGUAAUAUGUCAUCGACAUAUAGAACGAGGAAGCUUACUAUACUCCCACUGGCUUUGACAUAUACACAAGAUUCGUCUUCGCUUCGUACAAAUCCAAACUCUUUGACUUUCUCAUCGAAGCAAAGAUUCCAUCUGCGAGACGCUUGCUUAAGUCCAUAAAUGGACUUCUCAAGCUUACACACUCUAUUCGGAUGCUUCGGAUCCACAAACCCCUCUGGCUGAGCCAUGUAAACAUCCUCAGCCAACUUUCCGUUAAGGAAAGCGGUCUUGACAUCCAUUUGCCAAAUCUCAUAAUCAUGAAAUGCGGCAAUUGCUAGCAUCACUCUAAUAGAUUUAAUCUUCGCAACUGGUGAGAAGGUCUCAUCAUAGUCAACUCCGGGAGUUUGAGUAAAGCCCUUCGCAACCAAUCGCGCUUUAUAUGUGUGUACGUUUCCAUCCACGUCGGUCUUCUUCUUGAAGAUCCAUUUGCACCCAACGGUCUUACGUCCGGGCACAUAAUCAACCAAAUUCCAAACUUGGUUAUCAUACAUGGAUUGGAUCUCGCUAUCCAUUGCCUCUUUCCAUUUUGCAGACUCCGGGCCUGCCAUGGCUUCCUUAUAGCUAUUAGGUUCAUCAAGAUUUAUUAGUGUACCAUCACUAAUAUACGUGUCCCCUUCGGUAGUAAUAUGAAAACCAUAAAACUGGGGUUGAACUCUAACUCUAUCGGAACGUCUAAGAGGUAAGGAUUCGUCAAUCGGUUCAACCGGAGUUUCCUCCUCGGGUUGAGUGCCAGCGGUAGAGGUUCCUUCAUCUAUCGACUCUUGAAUCUCUUCAAGCUCGAUUUGCCUCCCACUGUCUCCUUGGCUUAUGAGUUCUCGCUCUCGGAAAACUCCUCUCCUCGCAACGAAGACAACAUUGUCCUUCGGUCUAUAGAAGAGAUAUCCAAAGGAUGUCUGCGGGUAGCCGAUGAAAAUACAUCGCUCACUUCGAGGUUCAAGCUUGUCGUGAGUAUCUCGUCUUACGAAAGCCUCGCAACCCCAAACCUUGAUAUGUGCCAACGAGGGAGCUUUCCCUGUCCACAUCUCGUGAGGUGUUUUGGCAACCUUCUUAGUAGGGACUCGGUUAAGGAUAUGGGCGGCAGUCUCUAAGGCAUACCCCCAAAAAGAGAUUGGUAGUGAAGCACGACUCAUCAUAGAGCGAACCAUAUCCAAUAAGGUUCGAUUACGCCUUUCUGCCACACCAUUCAACUGCGGUGUCCUAGGAGGCGUCAAUUGCGAAACUAUUCCACACUCCUUGAGAUAAUCGUGGAAUUCAAGACUUAGGUACUCUCCUCCUCGAUCGGAUCGAAGCAUCUUGAUUUUCCUGCCCAAUUGAUUCUCCACUUCAUUCUUGAACUCUUUGAACUUUUCAAAGGUUUCUGACUUUUGCUUGAUUAAGUAGAUAUACCCAUAUCUACUAUAGUCAUCGGUAAAAGUCACAUAGAAGCGGUUCCCAUCCUUCGUGGUUGAUCUAAACGGUCCACAUACAUCGGUAUGUAUUAGGUCCAAUAGACCCUCGCCCCUUUCACAUGUACUCGUGAAGGGUGACUUAGUCAUCUUUCCAAGCAAACAAGACUCGCAUGUGUCAUCUUCCCUAAGGUCGAAUGACUCCAACACUCCAUCCUUUUGGAGUUGGGCUAUGCGUUUCUUGUUGACAUGUCCAAGACGACAAUGCCACAAGGAUGCUUUAUCCAUACUAGUGGAAGAAUCAAUAUUCAAAACAUCAUUUCCUAAGUUAUCAACAAUCAUAACGGUUUCAUAUAUUCCAUUACAUGGUAUAGCUUCAAAGUAAAAGACACCAUUUAGAUAAGCCAAAAUAGAACCAUUCUCAUUAUUAAAAGAAAAUCUAAAUCCUUGUCUAUAUAAACCAUGAAAUGAAAUGAUGUUUCUUGCCAUUUCUGGCGAAUAGCAACAAUUGUUCAAAUCUAAAACUAAACUAUUCCUAAGCACUAAAGAAUACACUCCAAUCUUGGUCACAGGCGACGAUCUUCUGUUCCCCAUGAUUAGAUUUAUUCUUCCAUGCUCCACAUCCCUAUUUCUUCUUAGUCCCUGCAAUUCAGAACAAAUGUGGUAACCACACCCGGUAUCAAGGACCCAAGAAAUAGCAUGAGAUGAAUCAUUAGAUUUAAUUGUGUAUAUACCUGCGAAAGACGGCUUGAUCUUUCCUUCCCUGAUGGCUUGCAGGUAGUCUGGGCAGCUUCUCUUCCAAUGCCCUAUUUUGUGGCAGUGGUGGCACUCUGCCUCCUUUGGGUUAGGGUUAGGCUUAGCGGGAUCAACUUUGUUCCCACUAGAAGAGGAACCAUCUCGGGACUUUCCCUUGCGGUGGCUCUUAGACGGAGCCUUCCUCUUCUUGCCUCUUCCUUGCCCAAUGGCCAAAACAGGAGCAGCGGGUGGAUUGGGAGUGGGUGCAAUAGACUUAUGGUAGGUCAUCCUAAAUUGAUUGUAACACGGAGGAAAAGAGUGAAGCACCAUGUCGAUCGCCAAGUCUUCCCCAAAGUCAACAUUCAACUUGCAAAGACGGUCGACAUACCUUUGCAUCUUUUACAGGUGCACGGUUAGAGAUUCUCCAUGACCCAUUUUAGCGGAGAUCAUGUCAGUGAAAAUCUCAUAACGCUCUUGCCUCGCGUUUUCGUGGUAUCUCUCCAACAAGUCUUGGUGCAUUUCGUACGGAUACAUGUCCUCAUAGGACUUUUGGAAUUCGGCGUUCAUUGUGGCUAUCAUGAUGCAAUGAACCUUCGUUGCAUCACGUUCAUGAGUCUCAAAAGCAGUCAUUUCAGCCGGAGUAGCGAUUUCUGGGUUGAUCUUCUCGAGCUUCUCAUCGUGGACAUACUCCUUAUCCUCAUAGCGAGCAAUGGUGCGAAUGUAUCUUAUCCAUUCGCUAAAGUUCGUUCCAUCGAAGGUGACCUUUUGGCAAAGGCUCAUUAACGUGAAAGAACUAGCAGCAGCGUUGUUAGCGUUCGACAUCUACAAAUAGAAAGGACAAAGAUAGAUUAGAAUUUUAAUCCCUAAUUAUCACCCAAUAAGAAAAUAUUAGGGCUAGGAUCCAAUAACAAUAUUUACAUAUUAUAAAAGGGAUGUCGUAAUCUAACAUGCAAACAAUUUGAAGGUAAGUGAAUGACGAUUCACUAAUUCUCCACCAUGAAAACAUAACUUUAAGUUCUAAAUGUAUUGAGAAUUCCUAGGUUUGGAUGAGAUUCAUUGAAACUUUUCAAUGGCAUGUUUAAAUCUCGAUAUGCCCCUCUCGUUUGUGACUGGGAUACCGAGGAUCACAAAGUGGGUGUGAAUUACCAUGCAAAUUCACAUGGUGCCUUCAUUGUAACAAUCACCUAUUCGAUGUGCCGGUAAACCACACACGCUCCAUCGAACUAUGAUAAACAAUGAAUCACCCUUUGCCACCUUUUCUUAGAACCAAUUAGUGUGCCGGUAAACCACACACGCUCCACUAACUUCUUAGCAAGGGUGCAAAGUGUAAUUUCAUGGGAUUGCAUCAAUUCACUUUUCCUAAAGUAACUAGGAUUGGGAAUUUUGAAAAACAUGUAGUUACUUUGUAUUUCAUAUUAUACUUUUAAUGAGGAGAUGAGGGCAAGUUUUAAACUUUUUAAAACAUAGGGGAUCAAAUAACAAACAAUCUAAAUUAACAUUUAAUCACAUACUUAUCCAUAUUUGAUUUAUUUAAUUAUUUCUUACAAAACAAUUU
rnacentral:lncRNA from 1 species